AGAGUUAAACAGUACGUGAAAUUGUUGAAAGGGAAACGAUUGAAGCCAGUCGUACCGGCGGAUAAUCAGCCUUUCGGGUGCGAUUCUGUGGAGUGUGAGGAGGUAAACACCUUCAUGCCUGCAUAUUCGUGCACUUUGGGUGUACUUGUCCGUAUGGUAAGUUAACAUCAAUUUUGAUCGUCACAAAAUGAUUGGAGGAAUGUAGCUUCGAUCUUGUAUUGAAGUGUUAUAGCCUUCGGUAGAUGUGAUGAUUGGGAUUGAGGAUUGCAACGGAUACCCUUCGGGGCUACCUGUCUGAUCUCUGAAAGUUGCUCUGGUGUCGAAAGCUUGCUUACGGUCAUCAAAGUUGACGUUCAAUAGGUUAGAACGGGUUAAAUUCGUUAAGGAUGUUGACGUAAUGGCUUUAAACGACC
rnacentral:rRNA from 1 species